rnacentral:rRNA from 1 species
AUGGUUCUGGAGGACGAGAGCAGCGACGACAACUCAAGCCUCCCGUACAUGCACUCCGAAACCUCCACCGAUGGGCUGAACCAGGAAGGUCAGAAUUGUGGGUUUGUUCAGUGGGUUGAUGAGCAGUGGCCCCCAACAAUGGAGAAUGCAUUGCUGAAGCUUUGGUCAAUGGUUGAAGAGAGCAAGUCUGCUAGGGUGAAUGAUAAUCUUCAAAGUGCUCUAACUAUUCAUCAGUUGACAGAAGAAAAGAACAAGCUGGAUGCAGACUAUGACAAGUUAGUGAAAGAUGUGCAUCAACUUGUGGACUUUCAGAAGGAUAGGGUUGUGGAUUUCAGUUAUCUGCAGUCUGCUGUCACAUAUCAGCACCAAUGCAGAGCUGAAUUGGUGGCUGGUAUGAAUGCAGAAAUGGCAAAGAAAGAUGCAGCUGCACAGAAGCUUCAACAAAAGUAUGAACUCCUGUGCAACCUGACAAGUGCUCAAGCAACUGUCAUCCAAAACUUGAAGUUGAAGAAUAUGAAAGAGAAGGAAUUGUUGAGUGAGGGUAGGAUGAAUUUGGAGUUGAAGAAUGCAGAGUUCACAAAGUUUGAGGAGAAGCUCACCCAAGAGAAGCUAGAGUUGAAGCUCCAGGUUGCUGAUCUGCUGAAGCUCAAGGAAAACCAUAAUGAAGAGAAGCAGAUGCAAGAGUUUAAGAUUACUGAGCUCAUCAAGGUAGAGGAGAAGCUGAAGGAGAAGACCAAGGGGAUCCAGGCCAUCUUGCAGAACUGA